GGUGACCUCGUCGAUGGAGGAAGCCAAAAGUGGAGUAGGUCAAGAUUGACCGAACCACUCUAAAUCUCGGUUUGCAUUUACUUUGAGCAGUUUAUCUUUACUGCAAACCUCCUAAAUAGCAAAUGCCUUCUGCGCUUUUACGAACGAGUUUCUAAGUUCAGAGCUUUCCGAAUAUGCGUUUAGACGUAAAUCGACUUUUUC
rnacentral:lncRNA from 1 species